GACGAACGCUGGCAGCGUGCUUAACACAUGCAAGUCGAACGGAAAGGCCCUGCUUUUGUGGGGUGCUCGAGUGGCGAACGGGUGAGUAACACGUGAGUAACCUGCCCUUGACUUUGGGAUAACUUCAGGAAACUGGGGCUAAUACCGGAUAGGAGCUCCUGCUGCAUGGUGGGGGUUGGAAAGUUUCGGCGGUUGGGGAUGGACUCGCGGCGUAUCGGCUUGUUGGUGGGGUAGUGGCUUACCAAGGCUUUGACGGGUAGCCGACCUGAGAGGGUGAUCGGCCACACGAGAGCGUGGACGGGGUCCUUGGGCCUGCGAGAGGCAGCAGUAGCCUACCGGCCGCAGUAGUCGGGAACCUUGCAGAGUGACGGCGAGCGUGAUGUGGAAGCCUUGGGAGCGGAAUACUCGGUUACGGGUUAAGAACAACUUUGUAAGGAGCUGUGGAGUGCGUGACGGUACUGGGUCAAGAAGCCACGGCUAACUACGUG
rnacentral:rRNA from 1 species